GUAAAAGAAAAAAAAGCUUUUCCGCAGUCAUCUUUCCCCCAAGUUUUCCCCACGCCGGCGGUCAGAACCAGAGGAGCCCUCCUCGGGCCGGCGCCUCCCCACGCCGACGGUCAGAACCAAGGAGAGGCUCGCCGGCCUCCCCCGCCGCCGCCAUCAAGGCCCGGAAGCAAUCGCCCGCUCAGCCGAUUUACUGGUCCAGGUCACCUCCGCCGCUGUCACGGCGGGCAGGGCUCCCGUCCAGUCUCCGUCAUGGCCGCCGCCACCUCCGACGCUCCCCGGCCACAGAUUGCAGGUUGGGUCGAAAGGUGCUCGAUGAUUCGCUUCAUAGGACUACUGCUGCUCGGAUUGAUUUCGUUGUUACACAGGGAUAACAUGUUGAUGCUAGAGCUUAAACUCUAAAAUCGGAAAAGGGCGGUGUGUUCAGGAUGUGGUUGAGAGAAUAGUAGUUGGCAGAUACUGGAUUACCUGACCAGAAAGAGUAUCAUGGAAUUGGAUACGGACUUCCCUCAGGUUUUUGCAAUUUAGAUUAGCAAAUCACUUUUACUAUGUACGAAACUGAUCUGUUUCUUCUCAUUUAGGAUAGACGCAGUAAAAAAGAUGUCGUCAUUAUUCUUAUUUUCCUUUGUGACUGAAGAUUAUUCCGUACACAGACACACACACACACACACGCAACUGUGAAGGUAUAUGUGUUUUUUGUUUUUGGACAAGUCAUAUACAUGUUUGACUGGUAAUCAUGAUGCCUUGCUUCCUUUCUUUGCUGAAAUUUUACAACAAUGCCUCUACUAACCUCAUUUCAAUUGAUGAGUACAGACCUUCUGUUUGUUUUUGUGUGUGUUAAAUGGCAUAGGAAUUUCUCCCCUGGAGCUUUCCAGUUCAGAGAACUGAAUUUGACACUCCAAAUCAUAAUACAACAUUCAACAUUACUACGCAAGGGAACUUCAGAAAAUAUUUUCCUGUCCCUGGUAGAAACAGAACUGAAGAUUACACCCUUCAGGUUAGGAAUGGCUGACCGAGAGCAGUGUGCACAUCUCUGAGGCCAAACGAGGUGUUGGAGUCGAGGAUUUGACACAAUUUGGAUCGAAUUACUGCUAUCUAUCCAACCGAUCUUUCUCUCCUCGGCUCUUGGUAGUUCGUCCCUGAGAUUGGUUUUCUAUGCCUAAGAAAGUGGAAUGGAGGGAGUAAUGCCUUGAGGUCUUAUUUAUUAUAAUUAUAGUCAAUGUAGUUCCAUUUUCAUAUUGUAGAGAUGAUAUUCGUUGUGUUACCUUGGGCCUGUAGGGUAUGUCAACCGGCUUUACCUAUGGAACACUUAGUUUAUUCCCAGUACUUUAUCAGCAAUCAUUUUUGUUAAAAGUAACUGUAUGCCACCACAGUGGCAAGAGCUAAUUCUCUUAAUAGGAUACUCUUGCAUUGCUAUGAACUUGGCCUCGGAUCA